rnacentral:rRNA from 1 species
CGUCUAUAUACGUAUAGCAUAUCAAUAAGCGGAGGAAAAGAAACUAACAAGGAUUCCCUUAGUAACGGCGAGUGAAGCGGGAAGAGCUCAAGUUUGAAAUCUUCAAGGUUCUACCUUGACGAAUUGUAGUUUAUAGAAGUGUUUUCUGUUAGUGGAGUGGCAAAAGUUCUUUGGAAUAGGACAUCAUAGAGGGUGAGAAUCCCGUAUUUGGUCAUUCCUCCUAGCGUUGUGAUACACUUUCAACGAGUCGGAUUGUUUGGGAAUGCAGUCCAAAAUGGGUGGUAAAUUUCAUCUAAAGCUAAAUACUGGCGAGAGACCGAUAGCGAACAAGUACCGUGAGGGAAAGAUGAAAAGAACUUUGAAAAGAGAGUUAAACAGUACGUGAAAUUGUCAAAAGGGAAGCGUUUGACACCAGUGUUGUUUUCUCGAAAAUCAAUUAAAAAUGGUGGGAUGUUGUGUUGUAUUGACUUUAUCAGCUUUCUGCACUUUUUUUCCUAUCUUUUUUAAUGCACUUUUCGCUUAACAAGUCAACAUCAAUUUCUUUUGUUGUAAAAGAGUCAUUGGAAGGUGGCUUUCUUUUCGGAGAAAGUGUUUAUAGCCUUUGGCUUCUGCAAUCGGAGAGAUUGAGGUCUGCAGCGUAGAUCCUUCGGGGUUAGAUGCAUUUGUGCUAAGUUAUAGCCUUUCAUAGACAACUUGUUGACUAUGAUCAGUCAUGUAGCUUACUCGCUUAUGUCAUUUUACCUACGCUUAGGAUGUUGAUAUGCAUGACUGAUAU